GAACGGGUGAGUAACACGUGGGUGAUCUGCCCUGCACUUUGGGAUAAGCCUGGGAAACUGGGUCUAAUACCGAAUAGGACCACGCGCUUCAUGGUGUGUGGUGGAAAGCUUUUGCGGUGUGGGAUGGGCCCGCGGCCUAUCAGCUUGUUGGUGGGGUAAUGGCCUACCAAGGCGACGACGGGUAGCCGGCCUGAGAGGGUGACCGGCCACACUGGGACUGAGAUACGGCCCAGACUCCUACGGGAGGCAGCAGUGGGGAAUAUUGCACAAUGGGCGCAAGCCUGAUGCAGCGACGCCGCGUGAGGGAUGACGGCCUUCGGGUUGUAAACCUCUUUCAAUAGGGACGAAGCGCAAGUGACGGUACCUAUAGAAGAAGCACCGGCCAACUACGUGCCAGCAGCCGCGGUAAUACGUAGGGUGCGAGCGUUGUCCGGAAUUACUGGGCGUAAAGAGCUCGUAGGUGGUUUGUCGCGUUGUUCGUGAAAACUCACAGCUUAACUGUGGGCGUGCGGGCGAUACGGGCAGACUAGAGUACUGCAGGGGAGACUGGAAUUCCUGGUGUAGCGGUGGAAUGCGCAGAUAUCAGGAGGAACACCGGUGGCGAAGGCGGGUCUCUGGGCAGUAACUGACGCUGAGGAGCGAAAGCGUGGGGAGCGAACAGGAUUAGAUACCCUGGUAGUCCACGCCGUANACGGUGGGUACUAGGUGUGGGUUCCUUCCUUGGGAUCCGUGCCGUAGCUAACGCAUUAAGUACCCCGCCUGGGGAGUACGGCCGCAAGGCUAANACUCAAAGGAAUUGACGGGGGCCCGCACAAGCGGCGG
rnacentral:rRNA from 1 species